ACGCGAUUUAGUAGAAGCAAACU
rnacentral:snRNA from 1 species